GGAUGUGAGCCCGUGUGGGUGUGAAGGAAGCUGGCAGAGCGCUGAGUUUGCUUUCCCUGCAGGCUCGCGCUCUGAUCCGGCAGAACGGGACCCCGCAGCUGCAGGAGCCCCGGCGCCUGUCGGCUCUGCUGCGGGACUUCCUCGAGUGCAGCCUGGAGCCGGACGAGGAGCGGCGCUGGGCUGCCCAGGAGCUGCUGCAGCACCCAUUUUUGUCAUCAGCCAAGCCUCUCUCCAGCCUGACCCCUCUGAUCACUGCAGCGAAGCAACUGAGGGAGCAGCGGAGGAGAUGAAGCACUUGAGGACAGCCUUUAGUUACAGUAGUUAGGACAACUAGUUAGUUUUGGUAGUUAGCACUGAUAGGUAGUUAUGGUAGUUAGUACUGCUAGUUGGUUAUGGUAGUUUGCAUAGUCUGUUUGUUAUGGUUCUUGUUGGUUAUGGCAGUUUUUGGAAUAAAAACUCUCUCAAACCUCGA